rnacentral:rRNA from 1 species
GAUGAACGCUGGCGGCGUGCCUAAUACAUGCAAGUCGAGCGAACAGACGAGGAGCUUGCUCCUCUGACGUUAGCGGCGGACGGGUGAGUAACACGUGGAUAACCUACCUAUAAGACUGGGAUAACUUCGGGAAACCGGAGCUAAUACCGGAUAAUAUAUUGAACCGCAUGGUUCAAUAGUGAAAGACGGUUUUGCUGUCACUUAUAGAUGGAUCCGCGCCGCAUUAGCUAGUUGGUAAGGUAACGGCUUACCAAGGCGACGAUGCGUAGCCGACCUGAGAGGGGGACCGGCACACUGGAACUGAGACACGGUCCAGACUCCUACGGGAGGCAGCAGUAGGGAAUCUUCCGCAAUGGGCGAAAGCCUGACGGAGCAACGCCGCGUGAGUGAUGAAGGUCUUCGGAUCGUAAAACUCUGUUAUUAGGGAAGAACAAAUGUGUAAGUAACUAUGCACGUCUUGACGGUACCUAAUCAGAAAGCCACGGCUAACUACGUG